rnacentral:misc_RNA from 1 species
CAGAGUUCUCGCCCUCGCGGGUAGAUCUCCCACCCACUGUUAUUGCUACCGUGUUGCUUUGGCGGGCUGCUGGGCCUAGCCCGGCCGCCGGCUCCGGCCGGCGCGCGCCCGCCAGAGGCCCGACAAAUUCUGAUUGUCAGUGUCGUCUGAGUACUAUUAUAAAUAGUUA